UGGCUAUAUGGUCUGGGUGACAUGAGAUGCUGUCUCAAAAGAAUAAAACAAAAGCAAAGACAGGAAAAAAAAAUUCACUCCAAAUAAACACCCACCCUAAACAAACUCCAAACAAGACUCAAAGCCCAACAACAGUUAAAUAUUUGUUUUGUCUAAAGUUGGAGCUGGAGUCGUGAUGACUCACAGUUCAAAGGAACUGCGUGAGAGUGGCCCCCACGAUUUUCCUGAAGGCUUUUUUGUUCUCUCUGGGGCUAAUGAGUUGGCUGUGUAGGCAGUGACUUGAUAAAGGGAAAUGGACGGAAUCAUUAAGCCUCUCUCGCCCGUCUCCUCUUUGCAGACUACAAAACCCAACUGGAGGAAAUUCCACCCAAAACUUUAAUAUGGAAAAAGGAGAAAAACGAAAACAUGCAGAUCCCUUCACAAAGCUGUGCAAAGGUCAAUGGGAUUAAUACAGCCUUUGAACAUGGUUAUUUAGCUGAAAUAAGGGAGCAACAUGGGGCAGACGUCAGAGACUCCCUGUAUAAUAGAAGCUUAAUGCAUUUGCCCUUUUCUCUUCCUUUGUAGUGACUGUGUGAUUGCAUGAGGCAAGCUGCUCCACGGAACCACCCAGAAGACAUGCUCUGGAAUCAGGUUGACGAUCUCCAAAUGUUAGUUUACAUUCUCAGGUUCAUCCAAACGUUAUCUACCCAAGGGGUCUUGAGAAGAACGAGGAGACAGUGGACAGAGCCUUCUUAUACUCUGACCUGGCCAAGAGAGAGGAUCCUGGUGGGCAGAUUUCUCAUCUAUGAGGCCAAUCUGAUCGUCAAACUGAUGUAAGUCCUGCCAUCUUGAAUUUUCAUUUUUCUUAUUGUUGUGAUGGAAUGCUUCACAAAGGCAGCUUAAUGAAGGAUGGAUUUAAUUUCAUAUUAUUGGGUGGUGGGGAAGGCAUGGCGGCGGGCAUAUGAGGAAGCUGGUCACAUUACAUCUUCAGUUAGGAGGCAGGGAGAGAUGAAUGGUGGGACCCUGCUUACCCUCUCCCUUUUAUUCACGUUGUGAUUCCAGAUCACGGAUGACACUGCCCAUGCUCAGGGUAGACCUUAUCCUUGUCUCAGUCACCUCUGCUCAGGAGUGCCCCCACAGGCGUGCUCAGAGCUUGGCUCCUAGGGGUUUCUAAAUACCUGUAAGUUGACAGUUGGAAUUCAUCAAUGCAACUUUACUUCUUGUCAUUUCGAUACCCAAAUGCCGUACCUUUAAAUCAUAUUUUUUUAUCCCUGGUUCCUAAAGCCCAUGUUCACCUCAUAAAACAUUGUGUAUUUUGUCCAUCUCUAGAAGUCUCUAGAGACUUAAUGAUUUCAUUGCACUGUUCUAAAGUUUGAGAAAAAAAAUUCUACUGAGAUUUGGGCAACCUUUUAACUGUGA
rnacentral:lncRNA from 1 species